UAGCAUAUCAAUAAGCGGAGGAAAAGAAACCAACAGGGAUUGCCUCAGUAACGGCGAGUGAAGCGGCAAGAGCUCAAAUUUGAAAUCUGGUCCUUUCAGGGCCCGAGUUGUAAUUUGCAGAGGAUGCUUUGGGUGCGGCCGCGGCGUAAGUGCCCUGGAACGGGCUGUCGCAGAGGGUGAGAAUCCCGUCUUGAGUCGCCGGUUCGCGCCCGUGUAAAGCUCCUUCGACGAGUCGAGUUGUUUGGGAAUGCAGCUCUAAAUGGGUGGUAAAUUUCAUCUAAAGCUAAAUAUUGGCUGGAGACCGAUAGCGCACAAGUAGAGUGAUCGAAAGGUUAAAAGCACCUUGAAAAGGGAGUUAAAUAGCACGUGAAAUUGUUGAAAGGGAAGCGCUUGCAACCAGACUCGGCCGCAGAGGCUCAACGGGCACGUGUGCCUGUGCACUCCUCUGUGGUCGGGCCAGCAUCAGUUCUGGCGACCGGUCAAAGGCCCCUGGAAUGUGUCGUCCUCCGGGACGUCUUAUAGCCAGGGGUGCAAUGCGGCCAGCCGGGACUGAGGAACGCGCUUCGGCACGGAUGCUGGCAUAAUGGUUGUAAGCGGCCCGUCUUGAAACACGGACCAAGGAGUCUAACAUCCACGCGAGUGUUCGGGUGUCAAACCCGUGCGCGCAGUGAAAGCGAACGGAGGUGGGAUCCCCGCAAGGGGCGCACCAUCGACCGAUCCUGAAGUCUUCGGAUGGAUUUGAGUAAGAGCGUGGCUGUUGGGACCCGAAAGAUGGUGAACUAUGCCUGAAUAGGGCGAAGCCAGAGGAAACUCUGGUGGAGGCUCGCAGCGGUUCUGACGUGCAAAUCGAUCGUCAAAUUUGGGUAUAGGGGCGAAAGACUAAUCGAACCAUCUAGUAGCUGGUUCCUGCCGAAGUUCCCCUCAAGGAAC
rnacentral:rRNA from 2 species